UACGUAGGUGGCAAGCGUUGUCCGGAUUUACUGGGCGUAAAGAGCGCGCAGGCGGUCGUUCAAGUCGCGUGUGAAAGCCCCCGGCUCAACUGGGGAGGGUCACGCGAUACUGAUCGACUCGAAGGCAGGAGAGGGUAGUGGAAUUCCCGGUGUAGUGGUGAAAUGCGUAGAUAUUGGGAGGAACACCAGUGGCGAAGGCGACUACCUGGCCUGUUCUUGACGCUGAGGCGCGAAAGCUAGGGGAGCAAACGGG
rnacentral:rRNA from 1 species